GUGGAUUAGAUACCCGGGUAGUCCACGCCGUAAACGAUGAGAACUAGGUGUAGCGGGUAUUGACCCCUGCUGUGCCGCAGCUAACGCAUUAAGUUCUCCGCCUGGGGAGUACGGCCGCAAGGCUAAAACUCAAAGGAAUUGACGGGGGCCCGCACAAGCGGUGGAGCAUGUGGUUCAAUUCGACGCAACGCGAAGAACCUUACCUGGAUUUGACAUCCUUUGACAGUCCCGGAAACGGGAUCUUCCCUGCUUGCAGGGACAGAGUGACAGGUGCUGCACGGCCGUCGCCAGCU
rnacentral:rRNA from 1 species